GAUGAACGCUAGCUACAGGCUUAACACAUGCAAGUCGAGGGACCGGCGCCCGGGUGAGUAACACGUAUCCAACCUGCCCUUUACUCGGGGAUAGCCUUUCGACAUCAGGAUUAAUACCCGAUAUAAAGGAUGGUGAUGCGUUCCAUUAGGUUGUUGGUGAGGUAACGGCUCACCAAGCCUUCGUUGGAUAGGGGUUCUGAGAGGAAGGUCCCGCAGAUUGGGACGGAGACACAGUCCCAUCGCCUACGGGAGGCAGGAGAGGAGAUUAUGGGUGAAUGGGCGCUAGACUGCGCUGGCCGAGUAGCGUGAAGGAUGAAGCCCUAUGGGUCGUUACCUUCUUUUAUGUACUAAUAGGUAUUAGUCGAGGAAGUACCGGCUAACUCCGUGCCAGCAGCCGCGGUAAUAC
rnacentral:rRNA from 1 species